CACAGCCACUUUUUUCCUUUUUUUCUCACUCCAUUGUAUGUGUGUGUGGUGCGGCAGGGGAUAAGGGGAAUAAUCUCUCUCCAGUAUAAGAAGGAGAUAGAAGUUCAUGAAGCAGAAGCACAACAGGUGGUGGUUUGUCCUUUAAGCAAGUACUCAAUAGUUAAGGCUGAUCUCUUUGACUCUUCACUGGGAGCAGAAAAAGAAAGAGAAAUGCUGAAGAUGGAAGAAUGGACACAACAGCAUUUGCUAUCCCUUCGUAUGUCUUGAGAUCUAGUACAAAGCUUCUGGGACAAGAAUAUUCGUGCUAUGUUUAGGGAGCAGCAAGAGAAGUCACAGUUACUGGAGCAGAGUGACAGAUAAAGGGAGAG
rnacentral:lncRNA from 1 species